UACGUAGGGGGCAAGCGUUGUCCGGAUUUAUUGGGCGUAAAGAGCGUGUAGGCGGCCAGAUAGGUCCGUUGUGAAAACUCGAGGCUCAACCUCGAGACGCCGAUGGAAACCAUUUGGCUAGAGUCCGGAAGAGGAGAGUGGAAUUCCUGGUGUAGCGGUGAAAUGCGCAGAUAUCAGGAAGAACACCUAUGGCGAAGGCAGCUCUCUGGGACGGUACUGACGCUGAGACGCGAAAGCGUGGGGAGCGAACAGG
rnacentral:rRNA from 1 species